rnacentral:rRNA from 1 species
UAGAGGUCCCAAGCGUUGUUCGGAUUCACUGGGCGUAAAGGGUGCGUAGGUGGUGAGGUAAGUCGGAUGUGAAAGCUCGGAGCUCAACUCCGAAAUGGCAUUGGAAACUACCUUGCUAGAGGGUUGAGGGGGGACUGGAAUACUUGGUGUAGCAGUGAGAUGCGUAGAUAUCAAGUGGAACACCAGUGGCGAAGGCGAGUCCCUGGACAACUCCUGACACUGAGGCACGAAAGCUAGGGGAGCAAACAGGAUUAGAUACCCUGGUAGUCCUAGCCGUAAACGGUGCACGUUUGCUGUAAAAGGAAUCGACCCCUUUUGUGGCGGAGCCAACGCGUUAAACGUGCCGCCUGGGAAGUACGGUCGCAAGAUUA